rnacentral:misc_RNA from 1 species
AACGCACAUUGCGCCCCUUGGUAUUCCGAGGGGCAUGCCUGUUCGAGCGUCAUUUCAACCCUCAAGCUCUGCUUGGUAUUGGGCCCUGCCGCUGGGCAGGCCUUAAAAUCAGUGGCGGUGCCGUCGCGGCUCCAAGCGUAGUACAUUUCUCGCUCCGGAGGCCCGGUGGUGUCUUGCCAGACAACCCCCAAAUUGUCUUCAAUGGUUGACCUCGGAUCAGGUAGGGAUACCCGCUGAACUUAA